UGCCCCAUGGCUGAGUUGGUUACAGCGUCCGACUGUUAUAACUUAUAGUGAUCUGCAGGUCAAUCGGAAGGUCGAGAGUUCGAGCCUCUCUGGGGCAG